ACUACCCCUGGCAGUUUUGCAGGUGUGGCUGCUGUCGCACAUGUAUGUCAAUAGGCGACAAGUAGUAGAGAGGCUAUGUCACCACUCAGUGUUCUGACUGGUGAGCAGCUGAAUGACUAGUAACCUAACAUU
ensembl:snoRNA LOC120097994 small nucleolar RNA SNORA17